AUACGUAGAGGCGAGCGUAUUCUGGUAUUACUGGUGGUAAAGGAAGCGUAGAUCGGCAGUGCAGCUCUCUAGUGAAAGACGGGGGGCUCAUCCCCCGACUGCUCUGUAAACAGUAACGCUGGAGUGCAGCAGAGGUAAGUGGAAUACCUAGUGUAGCGUGAAAUGACGUAGAUAGUAGGAGGAACACAGUGGCGAAGGCGGCGUACUGGACUGUAACUGACGUUGAGGCUCGAAAGCGUGGGGAGCAAACAAGGAUUAGAUACCCUGGUAGUGCACGCCGUAAACGAUGAUCACUAGGUGUCUGGGGGUUAAAGAACCUUCGGUGCCGCAGCCAACGCAGUAAGUGAUCCACCUGGGGAGUACGUUCGCAAGAAUGAAACUCAAAGGAAUUGACGGGGACCCGCACAAGCGGUGGAGCAUGUGGUUUAAUUUGAAGCAACGCGAAGAACCUUACCAGGCCUCGACAUCCCCCCGAAUGGGUGGUAAUGCAUCCAGCCCUUCGGGGCAGGGGAGACAGGUGGUGCAUGGUUGUCGUCAGCUCGUGUCGUGAGAUGUUGGGUUAAGUCCCGCAACGAGCGCAACCCCUAUCCUUAGUAGCCAGCGAGCAAGACGGGCACUCUAGGGAGACUGCCGGGGAUAACCCGGAGGAAGGUGGGGAGGACGUCAAAUCAUCAUGCCCCUUAUGGCCUGGGGUACACACGUGCUACAAUGGCGUAAACAAAAGGAAGAGAAGGGGUGAGGGUAAGCAAAACCCAAAAAUAACGUCCCAGUUCGGAUUGUAGUUUGCAACCCGACUACAUGAAGCUGGAAUCGCUAGUAAUCGCGGAUCAGAAUGCCGCGGUGAAUACGUUCCCGGGUCUUGUACACACCGCCCGUCA
rnacentral:rRNA from 1 species